CCUACGGGUGGCUGCAGUGAGGAAUAUUGGUCAAUUUACUAUAUUCUUAACCAUCCAAUUAUCUUUAAUGAUGACUGCCCUAUGGGUUGUAAACUUCUUUUAUAUGGGAAUAAAACGUUCCACGUGUGGGAUUUUGUAUGUACCAUAUGAAUAAGGAUCGGCUAACUCCGUGCCAGCAGCCGCGGUAAUACGGAGGAUCCGAGCGUUAUCCGGAUUUAUUGGGUUUAAAGGGAGCGUAGGUGGAUUGUUAAGUCAGUUGUGAAAGUUUGCGGCUCAACCGUAAAAUUGCAGUUGAAACUGGCAGUCUUGAGUACAGUAGAGGUGGGCGGAAUUCGUGGUGUAGCGGUGAAAUGCUUAGAUAUCACGAAGAACUCCGAUUGCGAAGGCAGUUCACUGGACUGCAACUGACACUGAGGCUCGAAAGUGUGGGUAUCAAACAGGAUUAGAUACCCUUGUAGUC
rnacentral:rRNA from 1 species